rnacentral:lncRNA from 1 species
UAUAAGUACAUCGCAAUCCGUUACUGUUUCAACAGCCAUCGGUGUUUCAUGUGUGUAUUCUUAAACAAGUAUUAUUUUUUUCUCGUUUUUAGCAAUGCAUCACUCUCUACUGUCCUUAUAUAUUAUUCUAUAUCCUGCGUUUCCAUCUAGAUUCUCGUGUAUACCAUGAGGGUCCGGAUUGGGGGUAUUGUUUAUUUCUAUAUUCUUUAAAUUGUUAUUGUCAUUUUUUUCUACAUUUUAUUUAUCUUACUCAUUAUUCUUUCUUUAUUUUUCAUAUUUUGUCAUCCCAAUAAAUUUUACUUACUGAUGUUUAGUUAC